AUUGAACGCUGGCGGCAGGCCUAACACAUGCAAGUCGAACGAGUGGCGGACGGGUGAGUAAUGUCUGGAAAACUGCCUGAUGGAGGGGGAUAACUACUGGAAACGGUAGCUAAUACCGCAUACCAUCGGAUGUGCCCAGAUGGGAUUAGCUAGUAGGUGGGGUAAAGGCUUACCUAGGCGACGAUCCCUAGCUGGUCUGAGAGGAUGAACAGCCACACUGGAACUGAGCGACGUUCCAGCCUCCUACGGGUGGCAGCAGUGGGGAAUAGUGCACAAUGGGCGCAAGCCUGAUGCAGCCCUGCCGCGGGUAUGAAGAAGGCCUUCGGGUUGUAAAGUACUUUCAGCGGGGAGGCGUUACCCGCAGAAGAAGCACCGGCUAACUCCGUGCCAGCAGCCGCGGUAAUAC
rnacentral:rRNA from 1 species